rnacentral:rRNA from 1 species
UACGGAGGGUGCGAGCGUUGUCCGGAAUCACUGGGCGUAAAGGGCGCGUAGGCGGCCUGGCAAGUCGAUGGUGAAAGCCCGAGGCUCAACUUCGGGUCGGCCACUGAUACUGCUGGGCUUGAGUCGACUAGAGGCAGAUGGAAUUCCGGGUGUAGUGGUGGAAUGCGUAGAGCUCCGGAGGAACACCAGUGGCGAAGGCGGCCGCCUGGGCCAGUCCUGACGCUGAGCCGCGAAAGCGUGGGGAGCGAUCCGG